GCCAUGGGUAUUGUGUAUUUCUAUUUGUAUUGAUUUUGAUUGUCAACAUGUCGACUGAAGAUUGCCCAACUUGGGCCCCAUUUUUUGGCUAUCUGGGGGUUUC
rnacentral:ribozyme from 1 species